rnacentral:rRNA from 1 species
ACUGAAACAUCUAAGUACCCUGAGGAAAAGAAAUCAACCGAGAUUCCCUUAGUAGUGGCGAGCGAACGGGGACCAGCCCUUAAGUUGUAUUGAGAUUAGCGGAACGUUCUGGAAAGGACGGCCAUAGUGGGUGAUAGCCCUGUACGCGAAAAUCCCUUUGCAAUGAAAUCGAGUAGGACGGGGCACGAGAAACCUUGUCUGAAUAUGGGGGG